GGGCUUGUGGUUUAGUGGUAUAAUACUCCCUUAGCAUUUCCAAGGUGUUCUCGCCCCUAGAAACUGACUUGGGAGUGGUCCGGGGUUCGAUUCCCCGCGAGUCCA